GGACACGGAGCUGUUGGGAUCGCGCCAUGGCCUGGGCCCCUCUCCUGCUCGCGGUGCUCGCCCACGGCUCAGGUUCCCUGGUCCAGGCAGCGCUGACUCAGCAGCCGCCCUCGGUGUCUGUGUCCCUGGGAGGAACCGCCCAGAUCACCUGCUCUGGGGCUAGCAGUGAUUACGAUGACAUAAGCAGCUAUGGCUGGAUCCAGCAGAAGCCUGGCAGUGCCCCGGUCACUGUGAUUUACUGGAACAACAAGCGACCCUCGGGCAUCCCUGCGAGAUUCUCCGGUUCCACCUCCGGCUCCACGAGCACCUUAACCAUCACCGGGGUGCAAGCCGAGGAUGAGGCCGUGUAUUACUGUGGUGGCUACUAUGCUGCUGGUUAUACUGGUGCCACCGUGACAGGGAGCAAAAGGGUCCCUGGUCCAGGCAAGGCUGGCUCCGCUGCCCUCUCUGUCCAUGUUUCCCUGGGGGAAACUGCUCGGAUCACCUGCUCUGGGGGUAGCAGCGGCUGGGGUUAUGGCUGGUUCCAGCAGAAGCCUGGCAGUGCCCCGGUCACUGUGAUACGUGGUAUGCAUAAGCAUUGA